AGUGAACGCUGGCGGUAGGCCUAACACAUGCAAGUCGAACGGCAGCACAGUAAGAGCUUGCUCUUACGGGUGGCGAGUGGCGGACGGGUGAGGAAUACAUCGGAAUCUACUUUUUCGUGGGGGAUAACGUAGGGAAACUUACGCUAAUACCGCAUACGACCUACGGGUGAAAGCAGGUGAUCUUCGGACCUUGCGCGAUUGAAUGAGCCGAUGUCGGAUUAGCUAGUUGGCGGGGUAAAGGCCCACCAAGGCGACGAUCCGUAGCUGGUCUGAGAGGAUGAUCAGCCAAACUGGAACUGAGACACGGUCCAGACUCCUACGGGAGGCAGCAGUGGGGAAUAUUGGACAAUGGGCGCAAGCCUGAUCCAGCCAUACCGCGUGGGUGAAGAAGGCAUUCGGGUUGUAAAGCCCUUUUGUUGGGAAAGAAAAGCAGCAGGUUAAUACCCCGCUGUUCUGACGGUACCAAAAGAAUAAGCACCGGCUAACUUCGUG
rnacentral:rRNA from 1 species